CGGGAAACUGGGGAUAAUACCCCAUAGGCUAUGAAUGCUGGAAUGCUUUGUAGCCGAAAGUUCCGCCGCCGUAGGAUGGGUCUGCGGCCGAUUAGGUUGUUGUUGGGGUAACGGCCCAACAAGCCUGUAAUCGGUACGGGUUGUGGGAGCAAGAGCCCGGAGAUGGAUUCUGAGACACGAAUCCAGGCCCUACGGGGCGCAGCAGGCGCGAAAACUUUACAAUGCGGGAAACCGUGAUAGGGGAACUCUGAGUGCCCGGUAAAGCGGGCUGUCCAUCAGUUUAAACAACUGGUGAAGAAAGGGCCGGGCAAGACCGGUGCCAGCCGCCGCGGUAACA
rnacentral:rRNA from 1 species